rfam:Rattus norvegicus chromosome 8, whole genome shotgun sequence.
GGGGAUUUAGCUCAGUGGUAGAGCACUUGCCUAGCAAGUGCAAGGCCCUGGGGUCGGUCCUCAGAUCCCA